GGCUGCCUGGCGAAAUGGCAUCGCGUCUGACUACGAUGUCAUACGUAAUCAGGAGAUUGCAGGUUCGACCCCUGCGGUGGUCA